AUUGAACGCUGGCGGCAUGCUUUACACAUGCAAGUCGAACGGCAGCGCGGGGCAACCUGGCGGCGAGUGGCGAACGGGUGAGUAAUACAUCGGAACGUACCCAGAAGUGGGGGAUAACGUAGCGAAAGUUACGCUAAUACCGCAUACGUUCUACGGAAGAAAGUGGGGGAUCUUCGGACCUCAUGCUUUUGGAGCGGCCGAUGUCUGAUUAGGUAGUUGGUGAGGUGAAGGCUCACCAAGGCGACGAUCAGUAGCUGGUCUGAGAGGACGACCAGCCACACUGGGACUGAGACACGGCACAGACUCCUACGGGAGGCAGCAGUGGGGAAUUUUGGACAAUGGGCGCAAGCCUGAUCCAGCAAUGCCGCGUGAGUGAAGAAGGCCUUCGGGUUGUAAAGCUCUUUUGUCAGGGAAGAAACGGUUGGGGCUAAUAUCUCCGGCUAAUGACGGUACCUGAAGAAUAAGCACCGGCUAACUACGUGCCAGCCGCCGCCGCGG
rnacentral:rRNA from 1 species